GGGUCAUACUUCCAAGAAAAGCUUGCACUGUCAUAAACAAAGAAUGCCUGUACCAUAACCGACACAGGUGGGUAGGUAGAGUAUACUAAGGGGCGCGAGAUAACUCUCUCUAAGGAACUCGGCAAAAUGACUCCGUAACUUCGGGAGAAGGAGUGCCUUAUUUUUAAGGUUGCAAUAACAAGAUCCAAGCAACUGUUUACCAAAAACACAGGUCUCCGCUAAGUCGUAAGACGAUGUAUGGGGGCUGACGCCUGCCCAGUGCCAGAAGGUUAAAGAAGUUGGUUAGCAAUUGCGAAGCUGAUAACUGAAGCCCUAGUGAACGGCGGCCGUAACGAUAACGGUCCUAAGGUAGCGAAAUUCCUUGUCGGGCAAGUUCCGACCCGCACGAAAGGCGUAAUGAUUUGGAUACUGUCUCGGAGAGGGGCUCGGUGAAAUAGACUUGUCUGUGAAGAUGCGGACUACCUGCACCUGGACAGAAAGACCCUAUGAAGCUUUACUGUAACUUGAGAUUGAAAUUGGACUUUAUUUGCGCAGUAUAGGUGGGAGGCGUUGAGAAUAAUCUUGCGGGAUUAUCGGAGCCAUCAGUGAGAUACCACUCUUGUAAUGUUAGAUUUCUAACUUUGUAUCAUUAUCUGGUCAAAGAACAGUUUCAGGCGGGCAGUUUGACUGGGGCGGUCGCCUCCCAAAGGGUAACGGAGGCGCACAAAGGUUUCCUCUGAACGGGUAGAAAUCGUAUCUAGAGUGUAAAGGCAUAAGGAAGCUUGACUGUGAGACCUACAAGUCGAGCAGGGACGAAAGUCGGUCUUAGUGAUCUGACGGUGCUGAGUGGAAAGGCCGUCACUCAACGGAUAAAAGUUACUCUAGGAUAACAGGCUGAUCUCCCCCAAGAGUUCACAUCGACGGGGAGGUUUGGCACCUCGAUGUCGGCUCAUCGCAUCCUGGGGCGGUAGUACGUCCCAAGGGUUGGGCUGUUCGCCCAUGAAAGCGGUACGCGAGCUGGGUUCAGAACGUCGUGAGACAGUUCGGUCCAUAUCCGGUGUAGGCGUUAGAAUAUUGAAAGGAGCCUUCUCUAGUACGAGAGGACCGAGAAGUACAUACCUCUGGUGUGCCAGUUAUCGUGCCAACGGUAAACGCUGGGUAGCUAUGUAUGGAGUGGAUAACCGCUGAAAUCAUCUAAGUGGGAAGCCCACCUUAAGAUAAG
rnacentral:rRNA from 1 species